CAUCGGAGAUAUCGAGAGGUCCUACUUACGGUGCGGCGAGCUUUUAUUUAUAAAAUUAUCGCGUAGAGUCUCAUUAGAACCAAAGCAGUGGUUGACUAAUAUAUACGGAGAAUGAGUCAGAGCCAUGCGACGAAACGAGUGGACCACUCUGCGAAAUAGAAAUAGAUCGCGACGAACCGAGUGGACGCGGUCGAAGAUAUACGGCGUUGUGCCUCGCGCUGUUCGAGUUCUACUUUGGAUCUUUUCAAAUUUUUAAUGGCGUAGAGUCAAUAUUAAAUCCAUAAAUUGAAAGAAAAAAAUCGCAUCAUCGAUCACCUUUAUAUUAGCGAAGAAAUUGUGAAAGCUCGUAAUAAAAUUGCCAGUUUCUUGUUCCAGCUGUUUGUCGUUCAACGACAAGAGAAAGAGGAUAGAGAGAAGGAGACGGGACCGCAUGUAAGUCGCGUGCUGCGCGUUAGCCCGAAGGCAAAACACGUGAUUUGACUUUCGCGCUCGCGCGUUCAACCGUAGCGAUACCCGUGCGCGCGCGCGCGCGCGAACGUUUUAAUUAUAGACCCAAGCCCUUCUUUUCUCUCUCAGUCCUCUUUUUCCUCAUCUUCUCGCGUCCACCCUCGACACCGCGAAAUCGGCGAGGCAGACCGACGCGCGUCUACCGCGCGGAGCACGCGCUCGUUUCUACGACGACGUCAACAACAACGAGGGUAGCAUCAAAAGUGCCAAAGAUUACUUCCAACGCUUGCCUUUUUUUUUCUCUUCCCUACGAGAGCUUUACGAUUCCGAUCGUGAGCUCGAAAACGUUACUGGCUUAACAACGAGGCGAACAGUUUAUCAGGACAACUCCGUAAGCCACCGUAGAAGCCGACACUUUAAUGGACUCGCCGAGGAAGCGAGUAAGGACGUUGUACUUAGCGCGUCAGGAAGUCGAUGGGAAACAUGAAUGCACAUAGAGACAUGCGUGCACGUAUAGACCGAAGCGCAGGGACGGAAAGACCCCGAAGCGAUCUUCGUGUUUACAUUUGGAAGAACGUGUAAAAACAGCCGCCCAGCAUCUGCCCUAGGUCCAAGCGAUUCAACGGCACGGCACGCCACGCCACGCGCCUGGCUUUACGGAAGUGUUUAGAGUACAUAUUUGAAAUAUAUGCGUCUUUGCGAUCAAACGAUUCACCGAUGCGUUGCUCGUCCCUCGAUAAUCCAUCAUUCCACGAAUUUGUUACGUCGACGAUAAUAAGCUUAAAAAAUAGGUCUUUCUUUUCUUUUAAUAUUUAUUAUUGAGGCGCAACAGAGUUCGAUCGGAUUAUACAUAAUUACGUGGCGCCGUUAUCGAUCCUAUUUGAAAAAACAUUUUUAUUAUAUAUAUCCUUUAUUGUACCUAUUGUAAAUUAUUUUAUAUUAUAAACACAUCGACAUUGAUAUAAAUGGUUAUUAUUCAUGUCAAAGUAAUAAAUUAAUUAAUUAAAAUGAUAAACUCGGAGAAAGAACGACGAAUUCUAAACAAUUUUUAAUAUCGUCCGAUAUCCAAUGCGAGUGAAUAUGCGAAUAAAUAUAAAUAUACAUUCACUAAUUGCGAAUGGACGCGCUAAUAUCGAAGUACUUAAACAGUUAUAUUACCGCGCGAUAUAUCCAUGCGGUGUCCCACCUGUACCGACAAAAGUUCACCAAAUUUGGUCAGAUUGACCAGUUCUCGGAUCUUUAAUAAAAUCGAGGAGAUAUAGAAAAGGAAUUCAUGGAAGGUACGUCACUAGCGCACACACGCUCAUACGCGCGCGCACACGCACACACUCUAACUCUCUCUUUACUGCUAUAAAGGAAAUUAAUAUCAUACUUUCUUACGAUCGCGUGAACACGAACAUACUUUUAUUGAGUUUAUCAUUGCGAAACGAAACUUAUGAUCCGUACAGAUACAACACUCAUCGUGAUUUCCGUCAUUUCUCUUUUAAUAUCAUUAUGACGAUUUCAACGAUCGUUUAACGCAAAAUAACAACAUAUUUUUAUAUAGGGGAUAUAGAAAAUUGGCAAAAUUUUAUUAAUAACGUGAAUCGCAUAACAUUCUUUAAUUUGGAAUUUUAGGAGAUUGAAAAGACUGUGAGAUCGACGAAAACAAAAAGAAAAGUUGACAAUCUGUGUAGACAUUUCAUUUAAAAUAAAGAGAAAAAAUA